rnacentral:rRNA from 1 species
AAUGAACGCUGGCGGCAGGCCUAACACAUGCAAGUCGAACGGAUCCUUCGGGACUAGUGGCGGACGGGUGAGUAACGCGUGGGAACAUACCCAAAGGCACGGAAUAGCCUCGGGAAACUGGGAGUAAUACCGUAUGUGCUCGAAAGAGGAAAGAUUUAUCGCCUUUGGAUUGGCCCGCGUUGGAUUAGGUAGUUGGUGGGGUAAUGGCCUACCAAGCCGACGAUCCAUAGCUGGUUUGAGAGGAUGAUCAGCCACACUGGGACUGAGACACGGCCCAGACUCCUACGGGAGGCAGCAGUGGGGAAUCUUAGACAAUGGGGGAAACCCUGAUCUAGCCAUGCCGCGUGAUCGAUGAAGGCCUUAGGGUUGUAAAGAUCUUUCAGGUGGGAAGAUAAUGACUGUACCACCAGAAGAAGCCCCGGCUAACUCCAUGCCAGCCGCCGCGGUAA